CUCAGGGCAGGCUCUGUACCCAUGUUGCCUGAGCAGGCUUUCCCUGGGAAGUUUUUUCUCCAUCAACUUUUAAUGAUUUUGAGUUACUCAUUGCCAGCCAACUCCUGGCUUGCAUCAUAAAACCCCAACUGCACUCAACUCUGUAGCUGUAGAUUUGCCUGCAAAGUGGGGUUGCUGUUUGCAUUCCAAAAUACCCCCAAGAUCAGCAGGGUGGUAUUUUGGAUGCUCACCUCCUGGGAACUGUUCUUCCUGUGGAUGUUGUGGAAGCGCACAGCGCCUUGAAAGGCUCACCAAGCACAUCCUGGCUGGGUGUCCUGGUGCAGUUUCUUUGAGGUCUCAGGCACUGCCUGGAGCGAAAUGGAUACAACUGCACAUCCUGGUUUGAGCUGGGAUCGCUUCACGGGAACCCUUGCAAGCGUUUCCCAGGAGGAGAGACGCCAGCAGGAGACCAGGAGUGCUUCUGAGGGCUGAGGAGGUGCAGGC
rnacentral:lncRNA from 1 species